rnacentral:antisense_RNA from 2 species
UCUGAUGGUGGCUGUACGCAGGGCGCUUUCGGGCGCGCCGGAUUGCUGAGUUUCCCGGUCGACUAACCUGCGUGCAGCUGCCUCCCCU